rnacentral:rRNA from 1 species
CUCGGCAACGGAUAUCUCGGCUCUCGCAUCGAUGAAGAACGUAGCGAAAUGCGAUACUUGGUGUGAAUUGCAGAAUCCCGCGAAUCAUCGAGUCUUUGAACGCAAGUUGCGCCCGAAGCCAUCCGGUCGAGGGCACGUCUGCCUGGGUGUCACGCAUCGUUGCCC